UACGGGAAGGCAGCAGUGGGGAAUAUUGCACAAUGGGCGAAAGCCUGAUGCAGCUAUGCCGCGUGUAUGAAGAAGGCCUUAGGGUUGUAAAGUACUUUCAUCGGGGAGGAAAAAACAAAACUAAUAAUUUUAUUUCUUGACGUUACCCGAAAAAGAAGCACCGGCUAACUCCGUGCCAGCAGCCGCGGUAAUACGGAGGGUGCUAGCGUUAAUCAGAAUUACUGGGCGUAAAGAGCACGUAGGUGGUUUUUUUAAGUCAGAUGUGAAAUCCCUGGGCUUAACCUGGAACUGCAUUUUGAAACUGAAAUACUAGAGUAUCGUAGAGGGAGGUAGAAUUCUAGGUGUAGCGGUGAAAUGCGUAGAUAUCUGGAGGAAUACCUGUGGCGAAAGCGGCCUCCUAAACGAAUACUGACACUGAGGUGCGAAAGCGUGGGGAGCAAACAGGGAUUAGAUACC
rnacentral:rRNA from 1 species